rnacentral:piRNA from 1 species
UGAAUAAGUUGUGCUUGACUCCCUCAAU